AAUACUAAUAAAAGUAGUCUUAGACACUAGUGUUGGACUUUCACUGAAAUUCCAACACUGUCUAAGACUACUUUUCUUAGUAUU